rnacentral:rRNA from 1 species
GCAUCUCCCUUACACCGAGAAGUCGUCCGUGCAAAUCGGACUGCCCUGAUGCCUAACAGCUAGCCUCAAAAAUAAAAAUUUUACUAUUAUGGACCUAAAAACUCAUAAUAAACUUAAACAAAUCAUUUUACCCCCUGAGUACGGGCGACAGAAAAGGAGAAAAGAGCAACAGAUAAAGUACCGCAAGGGAACGCUGAAAAAGAAAUGAAAUAAACCAUUUAAGCACCAAGCAGCAGAGUUUUCUACUCGUACCUUUUGCAUCAUGAUUUAGCAAGAAAACUACAAGCAAAGAGCCCUUUAGUUUGUAACCCCGAAACUGAGCGAGCUACUCCAAGACAGCCUAUAAAGGGCAAACCCGUCUCUGUGGCAAAAGAGUGGGAAGAGCUUUGAGUAGAGGUGACAAACCUACCGAGCCCAGUUAUAGCUGGUUGCCUGUGAAAUGAAUAGGAGUUCAGCCCUUUAAGUCUUUCCCCCCUCAUCCAUGCUUACGCUAAAAUUGAUUAAGGAAACUAAAGGCGUUAAUCAAAAGGGGUACAGCCCUUUUGAUAGAAGAAACAACUU